rnacentral:rRNA from 1 species
UACAGAGGGGGCGAGCGUUAUUCGGAAUUAUUGGGCGUAAAGGGCGCGUAGGCGGCCUGGCAAGUGGAAGGUGAAAUCCCUCGGCUUAACCGAGGAACUGCCCUCCAAACUGCUUGGCUUGAGUCCGGGAGAGGUGAGUGGAAUUCCCAGUGUAGCGGUGAAAUGCGUAGAUAUUGGGAGGAACACCAGUGGCGAAGGCGGCUCACUGGACCGGAACUGACGCUGAGGCGCGAAAGCGUGGGGAGCAAACAGG